rnacentral:rRNA from 1 species
AUGAACGCUGGCGGCGUGGAUAAGGCAUGCAAGUCAAACGGCCCGCAAGGGCAGUGGCGAACGAGGUAGUAACACGUGGAUUACAUCCCCCAAAGUCAGGAAUAACUAGUCGAAAGAUUAGCUAAUACUUGAUAGUCUCUUCGGAGUAAAGAUUUAUCGCUUUGGGAAUGGUCUGCGGAGUAUCAGCUAGUUGGUAGUGUAAUGGACUACCAAGGCUAUGACGCUUAGGGGAGCUGAGAGGCUGACCCCCACCGAUGGAACUGAGAAACGGUCCAUACACCUACGGGUGGCCGCAGUCGAGAAUCUUCCGCAAUGGACGAAAGUCUGACGGAGCGACGCCGCGUGAUGGAUGAAGUCCCUAGGGACGUAAACAUCUUUUAUGAGGGAGAAAGUUUAUUGAUAGUACCUCACGAAUAAGGGGUUGCUAAACUCGU